GUUACGCUAAUACCGCAUACGAUCUACGGAUGAAAGCAGGGGACCUUCGGGCCUUGUGCUAUACGAGCGGCCGAUGUCUGAUUAGCUAGUUGGUGAGGUAAAGGCUCACCAAGGCGACGAUCAGUAGCGGGUCUGAGAGGAUGAUCCGCCACACUGGGACUGAGACACGGCCCAGACUCCUACGGGAGGCAGCAGUGGGGAAUUUGGACAAUGGGCGAAAGCCUGAUCCAGCCAUGCCGCGUGUCUGAAGAAGGCCUUCGGGUUGUAAAGGACUUUUGUCAGGGAGCAAAACUUACUGGUUAAUACCCGGUGAGGCUGAGAGUACCUGAAGAAUAAGCACCGGCUAACUACGUGCCAGCAGCCGCGGUAAUACGUAGGGUGCAAGCGUUAAUCGGAAUUACUGGGCGUAAAGCGUGCGCAGGCGGACUUUUAAGCCAGAUGUGAAAGCCCCGAGCUUAACUUGGGAAUUGCGUUUGGAACUGGGAGUCUAGAGUCUGUCAGAGGGGG
rnacentral:rRNA from 1 species